rnacentral:rRNA from 1 species
GCUUGUCUCAAAGAUUAAGCCAUGCAUGUCUAAGUGUAAAUACGUCUACACUGUGAAACUGCGAAUGGCUCAUUAAAUCAGUUAUCGUUUAUUUGAUGAUCUCUUGUUACAUGGAUAACCGUAGUAAUUCUAGAGCUAAUACAUGCGUCAAGCCCCGACUUCGGAAGGGGUGUAUUUAUUAGAUUCAAAACCAACCGUGUAAAAAGCGUACCUUGGUGAUUCAUAAUAACUUUUGCGGAUCGCAUGGCCUUGAGCCGGCGACGAAUCAUUCAAAUUUCUGCCCUAUCAACUUUCGAUGGUACGGUAUUGGCCUACCAUGGUUACCACGGGUAACGGGGAAUUAGGGUUCGGUUCCGGAGAGGGGGCCUGAGAAAUGGCCACCACAUCCAAGGAAGGCAGCAGG